ACUAAACGCAGACCAUAUCACCAUUCACCUUCUUCUUCUCUCUCAUGAACAAGAGAAAGAGAAAGAAGAAAAACGAGACUUUUCUUUCUUUGAUUUUGUUUUGUUAUAAACAUUCUUUACAUCAAACAAAAAUCAGAACCCCAGAUAAAAAUAAAGGGGAAGAUGGGAGAUAAAAAUAAUGGAGCUUGUGUGGUCCUCGCUCAUUUUCAACUUUUCCUUCCCUACUAUAAUUCCCACCUUCAUUAUUGCUCCUCUUAUUUUUCAUGUUUUUUCACUCCUUAGAAUCUCACCUUUUUUUCUUUUUUUUGAGAAUUUUGUGCCCAAAGUUUUGGUUUUUAUUGUUUCACCUUGUAAUUUUUGCUAAUGGAUGGAAAAGGGAAGCAGCGGAUGAUGGGAAAGGUGGUGAAGAAGGAAGCAGCUGAGCUUGUUUGGGAGUCAUCAGAUGAUGAUGGGUAUGUGAAGAUGGGGUGUGUGGAAAAUGAUGUUGAGAGUAACAAGAAAAAGAAAGUGGUGGCUGGUGGCUGUGGUGGUGGUGGAGGAGGAGGAGGAGGAAAGAAAGGUUCAGGUGGUGGUGGUUGUGGUGGAAGUGGAGGGAUGAGGUGUUGUCAAGCUGACAUGUGUAUGGCUGAUCUGAGUGAUGCAAAGCCGUAUCAUAGAAGGCAUAAGGUUUGUGAGAAUCAUGCAAAGGCUCAGAUUGUGCUUGUGGCUGGGAUUAGGCAACGGUUUUGUCAACAAUGUAGCAGGUUCCCAAGAAACAAAUUCCAUGAGCUAUCAGAAUUUGAUGAAACCAAAAAGAGUUGUCGCAGGCGUUUGGCUGGACAUAAUGAGCGACGAAGGAAGAAUGCUGCUGAAUCUCAUUCAGAAGGUGGUAACCACAAAGGGACAGUCACUCAGUUGAAAGAUAUGAUCUGCGGGCAGGUUGAUGAUAGGGGAAGAAUUAAAAUAACUAUCCAAGAAAAUGCCACUUACAAGCAUUUCCAGAUCAGAUAAACAGAUUGCUCUGUAGUUUGCUCCCUCUCUUCUGUCAUCCUAGAGAUAAUCUUGUUGUAUAUGUAGUAUAUCAUUAUUGAAUAUUCCUGUAAGUUAAUCAUAUACUAAUGGCAUUGGAGCAUUCACUUCACAGUGACAGGGUUGCUAGUUUUGGUUCAGUCUUUUGUGGCUAGCCAAUUAACUUGACCCAUUCUGUACUUAUGGGGUAGGAUGUGAUCGUUGGCACUUGGCCAUCAUUGAGUGCUUUGCUUCAUUAAUGUUCCGAAUGUGAUUUUUAAGGUUGAUCUUUGCUUUGUUGCAAAUCUUGCUCUAAGCAUUGUGAUUUGUGAAGCUGCUGUUAGGUGGGUUCAACCCCAUCAUUCUCGUGAAGCUACUUGAGUGGGAUUUGUUACAGUUCAAAAUCCUACUGGAAAACUCUGGAUUCUGGGAAAGCAUCAUUACCAUUCAUUAAAGUUACGGACCCAACCGCGCUUAGCCUUUCUUCUUCUUCUUCUUCGUCGUCGUCGUCUCUCUCUCUCUCUCUACUCUUUACAUUUGACAGAGGGAGUAGUAUCUGACUGAUAAAUCUCGACAACGAUGAGGAAGAUGCUCCUUCGCCGCCUCUUCAAAAUGGCCAUCAAUAUCCUAAGCAAUCUCACCUCGUCCCAUCUCCCCUUGUGACCCCAAACUCCACCAACAACAAGAACUGGAGGGAGAGGAAGAGGACCAGGCACCCAGAACCCAGAAGAAGAAGGAGAAGAAGAGCAAGCCAAAGAGAAGCAAUCGGCACAAGCUGAAAAUUUUUCCCUUUCAACGUUAACUACACCAAUUUGACAACAGAAAUAGCCAGUUUCAAUCAGAUCUUUUAAUUGGCUUGGAGCUUGCCCGUGAGCACUAUUGCAGCGAGAGAUUAAGAAGCUAAAGAACUAACAUAUUUCCCCUUUUUGCAAGGAAAAAGAUUCUAAUGAAUUUUUAUUAAAUCAUGAAUAA